rnacentral:rRNA from 1 species
GCAAGUCGAGCGGAUGAGUGGAGCUUGCUCCAUGAUUCAGCGGCGGACGGGUGAGUAAUGCCUAGGAAUCUGCCUGGUAGUGGGGGACAACGUUUCGAAAGGAACGCUAAUACCGCAUACGUCCUACGGGAGAAAGUGGGGGAUCUUCGGACCUCACGCUAUCAGAUGAGCCUAGGUCGGAUUAGCUAGUUGGUGAGGUAAAGGCUCACCAAGGCGACGAUCCGUAACUGGUCUGAGAGGAUGAUCAGUCACACUGGAACUGAGACACGGUCCAGACUCCUACGGGAGGCAGCAGUGGGGAAUAUUGGACAAUGGGCGAAAGCCUGAUCCAGCCAUGCCGCGUGUGUGAAGAAGGUCUUCGGAUUGUAAAGCACUUUAAGUUGGGAGGAAGGGCAGUAAGUUAAUACCUUGCUGUUUUGACGUUACCAACAGAAUAAGCACCGGCUAACUUCGUGCCAGCAGCCGCGGUAAUACGAAGGGUGCAAGCGUUAAUCGGAAUUACUGGGCGUAAAGCGCGCGUAGGUGGUUCGUUAAGUUGGAUGUGAAAGCCCCGGGCUCAACCUGGGAACUGCAUCCAAAACUGGCGAGCUAGAGUAUGGCAGAGGGUGGUGGAAUUUCCUGUGUAGCGGUGAAAUGCGUAGAUAUAGGAAGGAACACCAGUGGCGAAGGCGACCACCCUGGGCUAAUACUGACACUGAGGUGCGAAAGCGUGGGGAGCAAACAAGAUUAAAUACCCCUGUUAGUCCACGUCGUAAACUAUGUCACUAACCGUUGUGAUCCUUUAAAUCUGAUUGUCCGCACCUCACUCAGUUAAACCACCGCCUGGGGAGUAUGGUCCGCACGCUAGUGCUCAAAUCGAUUG